rnacentral:rRNA from 1 species
CCGGUUGUCAUGCCAAUGGCAUUGCCGGGUAGCUAAAUACGGACGGGAUAACCGCUGAAAGCAUCUAAGCGGGAAGCCCACCCCAAGAUUAGAUUUCCCUAGAGGUUUAACCUCUCUAAAGGUCCGUCGGAGACUACGACGUUGAUAGGUUGGGUGUGUAAGUGCAGUAAUGCAUUGAGCUAACCAAUACUAAUGACCCGUGAGGCUUGACCAUAUAAUAG